UACGGAGGAUGCGAGCGUUAUCCGGAUUUAUUGGGUUUAAAGGGUGCGUAGGCGGGAUGCCAAGUCAGCGGUAAAAAUGCGGUGCUCAACGCCGUCGAGCCGUUGAAACUGGCGUUCUUGAGUGGGCGAGAGGUAUGCGGAAUGCGUGGUGUAGCGGUGAAAUGCAUAGAUAUCACGCAGAACUCCGAUUGCGAAGGCAGCAUACCGGCGCCCUACUGACGCUGAGGCACGAAAGCGUGGGUAUCGAACAGG
rnacentral:rRNA from 1 species